rnacentral:lncRNA from 1 species
CACUAAUGACUGGACCGAAUGACAGGACCGAAUGACAGGACCGAAUGAAAAAUGCUAAUAACUUUUUCAUUUCUCAAAGGAUUGAUCUCAAAUUUGAAAUAUAAUAAGAUUUAAUCAUUUGAUAAAAAGAUUUAAGAAAAAAAAAAGAAAAAAAUUGUAAGAAACUUUAGAAAACGUGACAUGACCAACUCUGAUAAUGACAGGACCAACAUCGAGAAUGACAGGACCAAAUAAAAAUGUUAAUAACUUUUUUAUUUUUCAAAGGAAUUAUCUCAGAUUUGAAAUAUAAAAUGAUAUGUCAUAUUUUGAAAC